UUGGCUUAGAAGCAGCCAUCCUUUAAAGAGUGCGUAAUAGCUCACUAGUCGAGUGGCUCUGCGCAGAACAUGUACCGGGGCUUAAGCAUAACACCGAAACUGUGGAUGUUAAUUUAUUAACAUGGUAGGGGAGCGUUCCAAGGGCGUUGAAGGUAGAUCGUGAGGACUACUGGAGCGCUUGGAAGUGAGAAUGCCGGCGUGAGUAACGUAAGGAAGGUGAGAAUCCUUCCCACUGAUUGACUAAGGGUUCCUGGGUCAAGUUCGUCUUCCCAGGGUAAGUCAGGACCUAAGGCGAGGCCGAAAGGCGUAGUCGAUGGACAACAGGUUUAUAUUCCUGUACCACCUAUAUGACUGAUGGAGUGACAAAGAAGGCUAAUCAGAGCCAAUUAUUGGAUUUUGGUCUAAGCACAAAGGAGUGUUGGGUAAGCAAAUCUACCAACUAUAACUCUGAAGUGUGAUGGGGAAAAAGUUCUACGGAACUUCAACUCUGGUGAAGCCAAGCUUUCAAGAAAAACUUCUAGGGCUAAUCAUAUAGGUGCCUGUACUCAGAACCGACACUGGUAGUCAAGGAGAGAAUCCUAAGGUGAGCGAGAUAACUAUGGUUAAGGAACUCGGCAAAAUGACCCCGUAACUUCGGAAUAAGGGGAGGUGUAGCGAUACACCCGCAGGAAAUAGGUCCAGGCAACUGUUUACCAAAAACACAGGUCUCUGCUAAAGCGUAAGCUGAUGUAUAGGGGCUGACGCCUGCCCAGUGCUGGAAGGUUAAGAGGAGAUGUUAGUUGGACGUAAGUCGAUAACAACGAAGCUUCGAAUUGAAGCCCCAGUGAACGGCGGCCGUAACUAUAACGGUCCUAAGGUAGCGAAAUUCCUUGUCAGGUAAGUUCUGACCCGCACGAAAGGCGUAAUGAUCUGGAUACUGUCUCAACCAUAGACUCGGUGAAAUCUUAAUACCUGUGAAAAUGCAGGUUACCCGCUACAGGACAAAAAGACCCCGUGGAGCUUUACUGCAACUUGAUAUUGAAAUCAGAUGUAACAUGUAGAGGAUAGGUGGGAGACUUUGAAGUUAGGACGUCAGUUCUAAUGGAGUCAUCCUUGGAAUACCACCCUUGUUAUGUUUGACUUCUAACUUGCGCCCAUUAUCUGGGUGGAGGACAGUGUCUGGUGGGCAGUUUGACUGGGGCGGUCGCCUCCCAAAGAGUAACGGAGGCGCCCAAAGGUUCCCUCAGAAUGGUUGGAAAUCAUUCGUAGAGUGUAAUGGCAGAAGGGAGCUUAACUGCGAGACCUACAAGUCAAGCAGAUGCGAAAGCAGGGCAUAGUGAUCUUGCGAUCCCGAAUGGAAGGGUCGUUGCUUAACGGAUAAAAGUUACCCCGGGGAUAACAGGCUGAUCCCACCCAAUAGUUCAUAUAGACGGUGGGGUUUGGCACCUCGAUGUCGGCUCGUCGUAUCCUGGAGGUGGAAUCGCUUCCAAGGGUUGGGCUGUUCGCCCAUUAAAACGGCACGCGAGCUGGGUUCAGAACGUCGUGAGACAGUUCGGUCUCUAUCCGUAGUGGGCGUUAGAAAAUUGAGGAGUGCUUUUCCUAGUACGAGAGGACCGGAAAGGACGAACCGAUGGUGUAUCUGUUGUCACGCCAGUGGCAGUGCAGAGUAGCUAUGUUCGGAAGGGAUAAUCGCUGAAGGCAUCUAAGCGAGAAGCCCUCUCCAAGAUGAGUUUUCUUUAUCUUCAAGAUAUAAGAUCCCUUGU
rnacentral:rRNA from 1 species